rnacentral:rRNA from 1 species
UUUUUCGGAAGGCGAGUAAAGUGGCGAACGGGUGAGUAAUGCAUAGAUAACUUGCCCCUGAGAUGAGAAUAACGUUUCGAAAGGAACGCUAAUACUCAAUGUUGCCCUGGUUCCUUGGAUCCAGGGUGAAAGGAGGCCUCUGAUUUAAGCUUCCGCUCAGGGAGAGGUUUAUGUCCUAUUAGCUUGUUGGUGAGGUAAAGGCUCACCAAGGCUGCGAUGGGUAGCCGACCUGAGAGGGUGACCGGCCACAUUGGGACUGAGACACUGCCCAAACUCCUACGGGAGGCUGCAGUCGAGAAUCUUCCGCAAUGCGCGCAAGCGUGACGGAGCGACGCCGCGUGGGUGACGAAGGCCUUCGGGUUGUAAAGCCCUGUCAGUAAUCAGGAAUUGCAGGCGGUGAAUAACUGUCCUGUUUGACCAGGUUGCAGAGGAAGCACCGGCUAAAUACGUGCCAGCAGCCGCGGUAAUACGUAUGGUGCAAACGUUGUUCGGAAUCACUGGGCCUAAAGAGCGCGUAGGCGGUUUGGUAAGUCAGGUGUGAAAUCCCUCGGCUCAACCGAGGAACUGCACCUGAUACUGUCUGACUAGAGUGCAGGAGGGGAGAGUGGAAUUCCUGGUGGAGCGGUGAAAUGCGUAGAUAUCAGGAGGAACGCCGGCGGCGAAAGCGACUCUCUGGCCUGCUACUGACGCUGAAGCGCGAAAGCUAGGGGAGCAAACGGGAUUAG